rnacentral:rRNA from 1 species
AAACCAACAGGGAUUGCCUUAGUAGCGGCGAGUGAAGCGGCAAAAGCUCAAAUUUGAAAUCUGGCUCUUUCAGAGUCCGAGUUGUAAUUUGAAGAAGGUAUCUUUGGGUCUGGCUCUUGUCUAUGUUUCUUGGAACAGAACGUCACAGAGGGUGAGAAUCCCGUGCGAUGAGAUGAUCCAGGCCUAUGUAAAGUUCCUUCGAAGAGUCGAGUUGUUUGGGAAUGCAGCUCUAAGUGGGUGGUAAAUUCCAUCUAAAGCUAAAUAUUGGCGAGAGACCGAUAGCGAACAAGUACAGUGAUGGAAAGAUGAAAAGAACUUUGAAAAGAGAGUGAAAAAGUACGUGAAAUUGUUGAAAGGGAAGGGCUUGAGAUCAGACUUGGUAUUUUGUAUGUUACUUCUUCGGGGGUGGCCUCUACAGUUUAUCGGGCCAGCAUCAGUUUGGGCGGUAGGAGAAUUGCGUUGGAAUGUGGCACGGCUUCGGUUGUGUGUUAUAGCCUU